GUAGGUGGCAAGCGUUGUCCGGGAAUUAUUGGGGCGUAAAGCGCGCGCAGGCGGUUCUUUAAGUCUGAUGUGAAAGCCCACGGGCUCAACCGUGGAGGGUCAUUGGAAACUGGAGAACUUGAGUACAGAAGAGGAAAGCGGAAUUCCACGUGUAGCGGUGAAAUGCGUAGAGAUGUGGAGGAACGCCAGUGGCGAAGGCGGCUUUCUGGUCUGUAACUGACGCUGAGGCGCGAAAGCGUGGGGAGCAAACAGGAUUAGAUACCCUGGUAGUCCACGCCGUAAACGAUGAGUGCUAAGUGUUAGGGGUUUCCGCCCCUUAGUGCUGCAGCUAACGCAUUAAGCACUCCGCCUGGGGAGUACGGCCGCAAAGGCUGA
rnacentral:rRNA from 1 species